GACGAACGCUGGCGGCGUGCCUAAUACAUGCAAGUCGAGCGGAGCGGCGAACGGGUGAGUAACGCGUGAGUAACUGCCCCCCCCUCUGGGAUAACAGUUGGUAACGGCUGCUAAUACCGGUUAGUGGGGGAUGACUCGCUACCUAUCAGUUUGUUGGUGGGGUAGUGGCCUACCAAUGCGACGACGGGUAGCCGGCCUGAGAGUGCGACCGGCCACAUUGGGCUGAGAUACUGCCCAAACUCCUACGGGAGGCAACAGUGGGGAAUAUUGCGCAAUGGGGGCAACCCUGAUGCAGCAACGCCGCGUGCGGGAUGACGGCCUUCGGGUUGUAAACCGCUUUCAGCCAUGACGCGGUAGUGGCAGAAGAAGCAUCGGCUAACUCCGUGCCAGCAGCCGCGGUAAUAC
rnacentral:rRNA from 1 species